rnacentral:rRNA from 1 species
AGGGAAUUUUCGUCAAUGGGGGGAACCCUGAACGAGCAAUGCCGCGUGAGUGAGGAAGGUCUUCGGAUCGUAAAGCUCUGUUGUAAGAGAAAAACGGCACUCAUAGGGAAUGAUGAGUGAGUGAUGGUAUCUUACCAGAAAGUCACGGCUAACUACGUGCCAGCAGCCGCGGUAAUACGUAGGUGGCGAGCGUUAUCCGGAAUGAUUGGGCGUAAAGGGUGCGUAGGUGGCAGAUCAAGUCUGGAGUAAAAGGUAUGGGCUCAACCCGUACUGGCUCUGGAAACUGAUCAGCUAGAGAACAGAAGAGGACGGCGGAACUCCAUGUGUAGCGGUAAAAUGCGUAGAUAUAUGGAAGAACACCGGUGGCGAAGGCGGCCGUCUGGUCUGGAUUCUGACACUGAAGCACGAAAGCGUGGGGAGCAAAUAGGAUUAGAUACCCUAGUAGUCCACGCCGUAAACGAUGAGAACUAGGUGUUGGGGGAAUAACUCAGUGCCGCAGUUAACGCAGUAAGUUCUCCGCCUGGGGAGUAUGCACGCAAGUGUGAAACUCAAAGGAAUUGACGGGGGCCCGCACAAGCGGUGGAGUAUGUGGUUUAAUUCGAAGCAACGCGAAGAACCUUACCAGGCCUUGACAUCCCUUGCAGAGGUAUAGAGAUAUAUCCGAGGUUAUCAAGGAGACAGGUGGUGCAUGGUUGUCGUCAGCUCGUGUCGUGAGAUGUUGGGUUAAGUCCCGCAACGAGCGCAACCCUUGUCGCUAGUUACCAUCAUUAAGUUGGGGACUCUAGCGAGACUGCCAGUGACAAGCUGGAGGAAGGCGGGGAUGACGUCAAAUCAUCAUGCCCCUUAUGGCCUGGGCUACACACGUACUACAAUGGCGUCUACAAAGAGCGGCAAGCCUGUGAAGGCAAGCGAAUCUCAUAAAGGACGUCUCAGUUCGGAUUGAAGUCUGCAACCCGACUUCAUGAAGCUGGAAUCGCUAGUAAUCGCGAAUCAGCAUGUCGCGGUGAAUACGUUCUCG